AUCUUGGCCCAGAGAAGCAGACUUGUCUGACAGCUCCAGCCAAGUUUCAGCACCAUCUAAGAAUUCCUCUUAUGAAAGUGUCGUCUCUGGGGACUCACCAUACCAUGUUUGACACUUAAUCUCUCAGCUGUGGACAGUGUCUCCGCCCCAUCCAUUCCUCUGCUCUCUCAUCGGGGUCUCUCACUAGCAUGUCCCCUCCAUCCAUCUCCUGUGAUGGUGGGAUACAGCCAUGGUCAAAGGGUGCCAGUGGGGAUAUAAAAGAGCAAACCUUUUGGGAAGCUAUAAAUAAUAGACUUAUGAUACUCCAUCAUCCAGUAGAACAUUUAUGUGGUCUGGGAAGAGCCUCAGCUAAGAAAAAGCAUGUAUUGCAAUCUUAAGUAGAUAAUGAAAGACAAAAACAUAUCAACAGCAUGGUAUCAAUUUUUGUAAACUAUCAAAUACAUUCGAUACACAUAUAGAAAACAACGCAGAUGUUCUGUCAAGAUAUACAGGAUGGCUGGCUCUCUCCAAAAGGAUAUUUUCUAUUUUAUAUGUUCUAUGCAAAAGAAAAAAUAUAUAUGCAUUACUUCCUCCUUAAGUGUUAGAAGGGAAAAAAGUUCAAACCACAAGAGAAAGCAGCAAUCCAGGGAAAGCCUAGUGUGGACAGAGAUGAUAUCAAUGAACUGGGAGAGGACAAAACUGUCCUCAGCUGGGUUGGUGGGAAAGAAGGUGAUUAGCUAUCAGCAGACCUGUGGGGGUCUGCACAGGGCAGAAGCUGAAGAGACAGCGAGAAGAAGGACCAUGAGAAAAGUCACAGCAAAUACUGACAUCAGAAGAGCCUCAGGGGUCAAACCACAGUCCCUGAGAUACAGCAAAGCUGGGCUGUGAUCACCUUCUCUACAGCCUCUCUGAUUUCUGAACUCAGUGUUCACCCAGAGAAGUCUUUCCACCCCUUGCCAGCCAGUACUUUGGGUCUUAAUGGCCAUGUAACAUUGCCCUUCCCACACCCACAUCUGACCCAGCAAGCACAACUAUAGCCAGCAACACCAUUCCCCCAACCCUUCUGAUCCAGAAAAAGUGGGUGUCCCUACAAAUUUGUGGUGUUUUUUUUCACUUAUCUAUUUUCCCAUUUUAAAGAGAGAUGUUUGGAAAAGGUCCCAUUUCCUUGGAUGAUGCACAGGUUACUUGUUCCAAGAAAGUGAUAUAUAUAUAUAUAUCAAAUACUUGGAAAUGCUCAAGUGUCCACACUACAUUCUGGAACAUAGGUGCCAUAAGAAAUAUCAGGGGGCAGGGGGAAUGGCGGUGACAACUGUGAUAGCCUACACAGAUGUGACCCUUCAGGGAAUUCAGUCUGGUAAAAGCACACAUCACUCGCAGAUCCUCCAACUUCCCUCCAUGACUCAAGGAAGAACAGAUUUCCUUCCCUGCCCUUGAAAAGCUGGAAGAAGGCACUUUUGGACAUUAUGCCAGGCAUGUUUACCUUGUGGCUUUGGGAAAUGAUGACUUUCUAAAGAUGUUGCCAUUGGGAGAAUAACACUCUGGAAGUCAGGUGCUAAGAGCCCUCCAGGUUGUCAAGUCUCCCGAGUUGCUUUUUGACUCUUAGAUACUCUAGCAAAGCCCAUCUCCUUGAAAACCUGAAUAUAUCCACGCACCUUUGCUUUUUUACUUCUGUAUCUUAAAGCAAAUCACACCUGCCAUGUGACGAGCUGCUGUUCCAAAGGAUGCCUCUAGUCCUUCAAGAAACAUCAGCCCCCUGUGGGGAGUUCUCUUCAUGAAGUCUUCCGGCCAGUGAGAAGCUGACCUUCUCAGAAAAGCAUCUGAGAUACUGGGUAUUCACUUUGUCCUGCCCAAAGGCUGCCCAAACCAAACACCCUCACAUGUUGAGCUGCUGAAGGGGAGAGCAGCCUGGGUAGGCAGAGUUGGAGACAUGAUAAGAACCCAGGUUCUCAUUCAUCUUCCUUCUGCAUAUAUGCAACAGGCAUGGCUUCCUCCCAUCUGUACAUCCCAGGAAUCCUCAGAGUUACUGGGCUGAAAGCAGUCCUGAGCAUGUUAUUCACACUUUUAUAUUUAACUGCCCAAAGGAUAGUCUUUUCAGGUACCUUUGAAAAGGGCCUACUGC
rnacentral:lncRNA from 1 species